rnacentral:misc_RNA from 1 species
GAUGAAGAACGUAGCGAAAUGCGAUAAGUAAUGUGAAUUGCAGAAUUCAGUGAAUCAUCGAGUCUUUGAACGCACAUUGUGCCCCCUGGUAUUCCGGGGGGCAUGCCUGUCCGAGCGUCAUUGCCGCCCUCAAGCACGGCUUGUGUGUUGGGCCCCCGCCCCCCGGCUUCGGGGGGCGGGCCCGAAAGGCAGCGGCGGCACCGCGUCCGGUCCUCGAGCGUAUGGGGCUUCGUCACCCGCUCUGUAGGCCCGGCCGGCGCCCGCCGGCGACCCCAAUCAAUCUUUCCAGGUUGACCUCGGAUCAGGUAGGGAUACCCGCUGAACUUAAGCAUAUCAAUAAGCGGAGGA